rnacentral:tRNA from 1 species
GGGGUAGUAGUUAACCAUAACAUUUAAUUUGCAAUUAAAAAGUACUUUUAGUCUUCCUCG